rnacentral:rRNA from 1 species
GAUGAACGCUGGCGGCGUGCUUAACACAUGCAAGUCGAACGGGAAACCUUUUAUUGAAGCUUCGGCAGAUUUAGCUGGUUUCUAGUGGCGGACGGGUGAGUAACGCGUGGGUAACCUGCCUUAUACAGGGGGAUAACAACCAGAAAUGGUUGCUAAUACCGCAUAAGCGCACAGGACCGCAUGGUCCGGUGUGAAAAACUCCGGUGGUAUAAGAUGGACCCGCGUUGGAUUAGCUAGUUGGCAGGGUAACGGCCUACCAAGGCGACGAUCCAUAGCCGGCCUGAGAGGGUGAACGGACACAUUGGGACUGAGACACGGCCCAGACUCCUACGGGAGGCAGCAGUGGGGAAUAUUGCACAAUGGGGGAAACCCUGAUGCAGCGACGCCGCGUGAAGGAAGAAGUAUCUCGGUAUGUAAACUUCUAUCAGCAGGGAAGAUAGUGACGGUACCUGACUAAGAAGCCCCGGCUAACUACGUG